GACGAACGCUGGCGGCGUGCUUAACACAUGCAAGUCGAACGAAGAGCGAUGGAAGCUUGCUUCUAUCAAUCUUAGUGGCGAACGGGUGAGUAACGCGUAAUCAACCUGCCCUUCAGAGGGGGACAACAGUUGGAAACGACUGCUAAUACCGCAUACGAUCUAAACUCGGCAUCGAGGAUAGAUGAAAGGUGGCCUCUACAUGUAAGCUAUCACUGAAGGAGGGGAUUGCGUCUGAUUAGCUAGUUGGAGGGGUAACGGCCCACCAAGGCGAUGAUCAGUAGCCGGUCUGAGAGGAUGAACGGCCACAUUGGGACUGAGACACGGCCCAGACUCCUACGGGAGGCAGCAGUGGGGAAUCUUCCGCAAUGGACGAAAGUCUGACGGAGCAACGCCGCGUGAGUGAUGACGGCCUUCGGGUUGUAAAGCUCUGUUAAUCGGGACGAAAGGCCUUCUUGCGGAUAGUGAGAAGGAUUGACGGUACCGGAAUAGAAAGCCACGGCUAACUACGUG
rnacentral:rRNA from 1 species